rnacentral:rRNA from 1 species
UUGGAGGGCAAGUCUGGUGCCAGCAGCCGCGGUAAUUCCCGCUCCAAUAGCGUAUAUUAAAGUUGUUGCAGUUAAAAAGCUCGUAGUUGAAUUUCGGGGUUAGUAGGUUGGUCAUGCCUCCGGUAUGUACUGAUCUCACUGAUUCCUCCUUCCUUAUGAACCGUAAUGCCAUUAAUUUGGUGUUGCGGGGAAUUUGGACUGUUACUUUGAAAAAAUUAGAGUGUUUAAAGCAAGCUAACGCUUGAAUACAUUAGCAUGGAAUAAUGAAAUAGGACGUUCGAUCUUAUUUUGUUGGUUUCUAGGAUUGACGUAAUGAUUAAUAGGGAUAGUUGGGGGCAUUAGUAUUCAAUUGUCAGAGGUGAAAUUCUUGGAUUUAUUGAAGACUAACUACUGCGAAAGCAUUUGCCAAGGAUGUUUUCAUUAAUCAAGAACGAAAGUUAGGGGAUCGAAGACGAUCAGAUACCGUCGUAGUCUUAACCAUAAACUAUGCCGACUAGGGAUCGGAUGAUGUUAAUUUUUUAAUGACUCAUUCGGCGCCUUACGGGAAAC